UACGAAGGGGACUAGCGUUGUUCGGAUUUACUGGGCGUAAAGCGCACGUAGGCGGUCUUUUAAGUCAGGGGUGAAAUCCUGGAGCUCAACUCCAGAACUGCCUUUGAUACUGGGAGACUUGAGUCCGGGAGAGGUGAGUGGAACUGCGAGUGUAGAGGUGAAAUUCGUAGAUAUUCGCAAGAACACCAGUGGCGAAGGCGGCUCACUGGCCCGGUACUGACGCUGAGGUGCGAAAGCGUGGGGAGCAAACAGG
rnacentral:rRNA from 1 species